UACGUAGGGUGCAAGCGUUGUCCGGAAUUAUUGGGCGUAAAGAGCUCGUAGGCGGUUUGUCGCGUCUGCUGUGAAAACCCGAGGCUCAACCUCGGGCCUGCAGUGGGUACGGGCAGACUAGAGUGCGGUAGGGGAGAUUGGAAUUCCUGGUGUAGCGGUGGAAUGCGCAGAUAUCAGGAGGAACACCGAUGGCGAAGGCAGAUCUCUGGGCCGUAACUGACGCUGAGGAGCGAAAAGCAUGGGGGAGCGAACGG
rnacentral:rRNA from 1 species